AGAGUUUGAUCAUGGCUCAGAAUGAACGUUGGUGGCGUGGAUUAGGCAUGCAAGUCGUGCGCGAAAGUCCCUUCGGGGACUGGAGAGCGGCGAACGGGGUAGUAAUGCGUCGGAACGUACCCUUGGGUCUGGGAUAACCGCGGGAAACUGCGGGUAAUACCGGAUGACCUCUUUGGAGCAAAGGUGAGACUCCGCCCGAGGAGCGGCCGACGUGAUACCAGCUAGUUGGUGAGGUAAUGGCUCACCAAGGCUCAGACGUCUAGGGGGUGUGAGAGCAUGGCCCCCUCCACUGGGACUGAGACACUGCCCAGACACCUACGGGUGGCUGCAGUCGAGAAUCUUCGGCAAUGGGCGAAAGCCUGACCGAGCGACGCCACGUGCGGGAUGACGGCCCUCGGGUUGUAAACCGCUGUCGAGGGGGAUGAAGUCAUUGGGAGCUAUCUCCCGAUGUUGACAGAGCCCUGGAGGAAGCGCGGGCUAAGUACGUGCCAGCCGCCGCGGUAAUAC
rnacentral:rRNA from 1 species